CCCUCUGCUCCCCAAAUCUGAGCCUGCCCUCAGCUCCCCCAAACCAGCCUGCCCUCUGCUCCCCAAAUCUGAGCCUGCCCUCAGCUCCCCCAAACCAGCCUGCCCUCAGCUCCCCCAAACCAGCCUGCCCUCAGCUCCCCAAAACCAGCCUGCCCUCAGCUCCUCCAAACCAGCCUGCCCUCAGCGUCCCAAAACCAGCCUGCCCUCAGCUGCCCAAAUCUUAGCCUGCCCUCAGCUCCCCAAAUCUGAGCCUGCCCUCAGCUGCCCACACCCUGCAGUGUCCCAGCCCUGCUCUGGGUGCAUGGCUCUGCAGAAGGUGUUGUCCCUCUGGCUGCCAGCAAGGCUCUGGGGAGAACCCUCCUCCUCCCUGCAUUCACACACGUUAUAAAGAGCUCUGGUGAGCUCGUGGUGGUGUUUGGCCUCUUCCCUCAGCCAUGUCAUAUAAUAGGCUCUUUAGAACCUGCUGCUCAGGAUCCAAAUUUAUAGCCUGUUUUUAGAAAGGAUAGGCUAUUACAGAACUGAUUAUGCAUUUGCAUAUUCAUCAGCCAUAUAGAGGAGGUAAAGAGCUGGGAAGGGACAGAAGAAAUGAAUGGUCAAUAGAGAAGGCUUCAAGGAGAACACAGAUUAAAAGGUCUAUUUAUUUUCUACAGCAGAAGCUAAAAAAAGGACUGUGCACAAUUCCCCACCCCCAUCCCUUUUCACAGCGAUUGCUCAUGGGCUGCUGCCUCCCCUUGUGUUUCUCUGCACUGUGCUCCUCACACACGUGGUUCAUGGGCUCUCACCAGGGCUCUUGCUCUGAUCCACACACAAAUGUGUACCCAGCCACCCAGGAAAUUCCCUCCCUUGCUUUCCCAGCUUUUGCACUACACACUUUUCUUCCCUCUUUGACCACAUGUGGCACAUGGUGACCCUGGGUUUGACAUGCUACAAUUAAAAACUCACAUUAAUGAUAAGCUCUUGGCCUAAUUCUGUGGUUUUCUAUUUGUCAAAACCCAGCAUGCAGUCCUGGGAUUGCUUUUCUGUCUUAACACUUCACUGCCUUGAGUCUGGAGGCCCAAUUACAUAAGUGCUUCUGACUUGUCUGACAUGAGGGAUAAUGAGAAUGCUACAUACUCAGUUUGAUCUAAUUUCCCUGUCCUCUUUUCAAUUCACACUUUAUUUGGCCCAUGUUUAGACAGAGGUGCUUUUGAGAAGAGGAAGGUUUAGUGAGGAGGAGAGAGGCAAAGGUUUUAAUUACUUGCAGGGAAUCAUGAGCACUUGUACUGUUUUAGACCUGUGGUCCAGGUGGGGAGGAGGUGUUAAUGUGUGCUCAGCUGCUCUGAUGUGUUCUCCUGCUUAGCCCAAGGAUGGAGCCAGCUCAGCUAACAAACCUCAGGGACAAAGAGAAGGAAGCAAGCAGGGAAUGACUUCACAUGCAGGAAAACUCAUUUUUUCUAAGAAUAAAUGUUUUGGGGAGUUUUAUUGUGGAAAUACCAGAAUUUUCUUUUUUUUAGGUUCCAAUAUUUCCCCUCUUCACCCAACUAUUCUCGGUAGUGGAGCUGGCAAAGCUGGGAAUGGACAUGGUUAAUUCUCUUUUAGAGAGCCUAAAAAGGAUGAAGGCAAUGAAGCAAAAUUGAAAGGCAGAGAACACAUACUCAAAACAAAAAAAUCUUGUUAAAAAUUCUUGCAAGCUAACAGGCAAGUCCUCAUCUCCGUGCUGAAAUGCAUCUCACCUGUGGAAAAUAGAGGUUAGAGCAAAUGUCGGUAAUAACAUUUGCUGAGGAAAUGUUUCCCUGAAAUCUUUGCACCAGGUAAGAACAUUCUUUUUUGAGAAUUAAGUCCAGCUUUAAAAUAGGAUUAUGUAUUUCCAGUUUGUGUGGUUAGAGGAAUUUAAUGGAGCAAAGGGAGCAGAAAUGGGGGAUGAUAUGUCAUUUUGAAGAAUAAGAUAAGAAAUGUCUGCUGUUGUAUUCUACUCCAACUUACUUUUUUACUGCAAGUGCUACCUCUGUACAGACAUAGCAAGAUAGAUUCAACUCUUUAUUAGUCUUUUUUAGCACUGGAGAAGGAGGAUGUUGCUGCACUCUAGGGAAAUGUGGAAGAUAACCCUGUGACUGUAGAUGAACAUCUAUUCUGGUAGAUCUGUAAAUGAUGCCUAGCAUUAAAUUUAUUUUUAAAUUUCCUGCCUCAUGAAUCUGCCAGAUGCCAAAGUCUCACAGGUCUGCUCUAACUGCAUGAAGGCACAGACAUCUCUGUCAGUGGGUUUCCUCCUGCAAUUUGGGACCACAAGAAGAAGCAGUUGCUGAAAUGUACUGCAGUGCUUUGAGUUUCCAGGAGCCAAAAGAGGAAAAAGGUGUUUUUCAAAUAGCUGGAGAUGAUGGACAGGGCCAGGCUCUCUUUUAUCAGGGGAGGUAUUCUAAAGCUGUCUUGGCCUUGAGUGCAGUUCCCAGAGCUGCUGAUAACAAACGUGUUGUAGCUGAGAGGGGCUGCAGCCCUGGGGAAGUCUCUGCUGCUUUGGCACCAUGCUGGGCCCUUUCCCACUGUGAGCCAGGGAAAUGCACUCACUGGGGCCAGGGUUGCAAACCAUGGAGAAUUCCUGGUCCUGGGGCUACACUGAAGCUGAAUAAUGCCAAAAAGGAGGAGCUGCAUUGUUUGCUUCCAUGUCUGGCUUCUGAGUGUGUCUGUUGAAUUUCCCUGCCUCCAAGGUCCUUCCCAGCAGUGCCAGUGUAGCAGCUGUUUUUUCAUUUGUUAACAGGGAGCACAAAUGCUUCUUUUGGGGACUGCAUUUCUUUCUCUGAAUUUCAAAGCUGGAAUGAAACUCUUAAACAGCAUGGUUAUUUUGUCUAAUGUGUUCUCCCCAAACUUCCAGGCUAAUCCAUUUGGGAAACAUGGAAGAUGUUCCCAAGAGACUUCUUAUUGCCUAGCUACUGAAGCACCUGCUAAAACUGAGCUCUUUUAAAAACUGAAAAUUAUUUAAAUGUGAAAAAGAGUGGGUUGAUCUGGAAAAAAACCUUAUCAAAAGACUAAAAUUAGAAUGGAAUGUGUUAGAAGAGAAAUGGGGAAACUGGUGGGGGAGGAGGACUAAGGUUUUUUUAAAAAUAAAAAUGCUACUGCUUGAGUAAUGAUCAAGGAGAUUCUGGUUAGGAUAUUAGCUGCUGCUCCAACCCAGAGCAGUUCCUGGAUUCAGAAAUAAUUAUGUUUUCCUAAAGAUAGAUCUACAGUACAGACUCCAGGGUUUUUUUUCUGAGUUAGUCUAAAGCAAGGAUCAGCUUAAUGUUUAUAAAUGAAACUUUUGAGUAAAUGCUGGUAGUGAACCAAAUAAAUAGAGGUUUGGGGUUUUUUAGAGCAACUAAUAACUGCAUAAAUAAUCUUUGCAGAUUAACUUCUGCUCUCCUAAAGUUGCCUGAGUAAGCUGCUUGCAGAAAGCUUGAAAGGUGAAGCUACCUUUCUUUUUUGCUUUUGGAAUUUUGCAUUUCUGUCUGCACUUUACCACUGCACGUUUGAUUUUGUCGUGAAUAAAAUUCUAAUUAGUUGUCCCAAGGCUACCAUUCCAUGAUGCAAGGGUUUUUUUCUCUUUUCUUGGCUCAGUUGCUGUUGUACCACCACUUUUUUUUAUUUCUGAACUCUUUGUGGUGUAAAGGAUUGGAAGAGUUUCAAGGAAUCCCAUUACCUGGCAGGAAGCAAAAAACUUCAUUGUCUGUAAAAUGGUAAGGAGGAAAGUUCUAAGCAAUGGCUAAUUGCAGGAAAAAUCACCCUCUGAGGAAAAGAGAAGGUCUCUACAAAGAAAUGCACCCAACUAAAAAGAGUAAAGUGAGGUGGUCUGGUUAUUGUCCUUUAAAAUCCUCUGGUUUUCCUCUGCUCCUUGAUUUCAAUAGUUUGAUGUAUUUUACACUGCUUGGAAGUCAUGAGUGCUUCCUUUAGAGAGACCUGACUGCAGUAGUUCGGCUUCUUCCCUAAACAUAAAAAAAAAAUCCUACAGAAGUUUUAUGCUGUAGGAUAUUUUAAAUCUGAGUAGGAAGGAAUUGCAUUUCCUGAUUUAAAGUGACUCAGCUCGGUCUGCCUCCUUCUUUCAUAAGAGAUUCUCUGCAUCCAGCUCAAACCUUGGCUGGCACUCGGGAGAGCUAUCAGAUGUUUUCUCCAAUGAUUUGUCAUUCCUGCACAAAGUCAGUUUUUAAGCUGUUCCUUGUGGAUCCUGGAGCAGCAGUGAUUAGCUCAGAAGGUGAAGCCUGUGUCACAAGGCAUGUGCUGCUGUUCCUUGCAGCUUCUGUCAGCUCCCGUUGGACAGUGACGUGCCUGGCCAACAGGAGCCCAGCAGUCAGUCAUCACUUUAUUAGUAUUUGUUUUAUAGUAUCUGCAGCCACUCACACACAUCAAACCUUAUUUCCAUAACCACAGUCCCACAAGAAAUGUUAUUUUUUUGUGCAGAACCUUCAUGGUGGUCACGUUCUGUACCAAGUAAAUUAAUUUCAAAGCACUUUCUUUUAAGCCUGAUACUUGUUUUGUAGGAUUCCUGACAUUUUGUGAUUUCCUUUAGAGCAGACAUUGUUCCCACCACCAGAAAAUUAUUUCCAGUGAGAAAUUGAAAGGGAAGUUCAUAUUUGUUGAAAAGAAAGUUGAUAUUUGUAUGCCAUGUAUGGAUGCAUAUGAUGAAGUCAUAAUGUGGAAGAAUCUAAUUAGAACUAUCCAGGCAACGGAAGACCUUGAGCUUGCUUGAUUAGAAUUAACUGCUGCAUACAUGAAAGGAGAAAUUUAAUUCAAAUUUCUAUUAAUCAGAAAUACUAUCCUGCCUAAAUGAUUAAAAAAAAGCCAUGUUAAUUUUCUGUUUGGAUGAUGAUGAUGUCCAUGUCAAGAGUGAUUUUUGUGUUGCUUUGGUCUUUGAAGUUAUAUAUCCUAAAGUAAUGUACAAACAGAAGUAUUUCAAGUUUUGUGACCCGAAUGCUUUCAAUUCAGAGCACAAAUAUAUAUUUAUGUGCAUAGAAGUAGGUACUCUGGCACAAAGCCUCCAAAAAUGUUGUUGUCAAGUUCCCCUUUGCCCUUUCUCACAGCAUCACACAGGUAAGGUUCUCUCUGCCAGUGAAUGCUGUGUGGUUCCAUUUCUCAGUUUUCUCUUUCCCCUCUGCCCCUGGGCAUUGCCUUGUCCAAGGAAGAGGAGCAGAGCAGCAGAGGGAAGAGCCCUGGCAGGAAUUGCCUGUGUUGUUCAGCACAUGCAGGUGAGGCCUGGCAGGAUGGGAUGCUGUGGGUCUGUAAAUGUUGCUCGGUAUCUGCACCUCAGCUCUGCAGGAAACUGCAGGGCUGUGGGAAGCUGCCUGGCAGAUCAUGAGCACUUCUCUGUCAUAUUUGGGGUUUCUUCUGGCUUUUUUUCUGCAACAACUGGAUCAUAAGAAAAUUAUGUUCUGUUGAAAUAGUCUUACAUUAGGGAAAGGCUGUUUGAUGUGCUGAAUGCCAGCUUUGUGUUGGUUUGUGUGUUACAAGCCAUCAAGGAGUGUGAUGAAAUAGUGAUUUGAUCUCAAAUGCUGCCAGCCACAGGGAUGCCAGCAUCCUGUCUCAGAUAGGUUUGGAGGCUCUCUGUCCAUCCUUGUAAGUCUUGAGAAGUCCAGGUGACACAACUCAGUGUGCUGUGGCAAUAUCACAGACCAGGGAUAUGUUUUAGGCAGAUUCCUCUGUGUACAAUUGGGUCAAAAACCUCUCAUGUGACCAGUUGUCACAGAAAAUGGAAAUAUACCACUCACAUGAGGAGUCCUGUACAAGCUGCUGUCCUGAUAUGCAGUGGGAGCCAGAAAAGAAGUCAUCAAAUGUUGAAUUUCAUGUUCUGUUGGACUGUGUGUUUAGCUGAGGGGUUGAACAUCACCCUCCUUGAUAUAAAAAUUAAUGGAUUCUCUUUGAAAAUGGAUCAGAGCAGGGUAUGUUCAACUGUGCAUCAAAGUGCAGAAAUAUAAACGUUAAACUAAAUUCCAAAAUCUCAAGCACAUCUAGCAACAAAGGGGAAAGCAUAUGUAAAGUGCACAAGCUUAGCUUCAUGCCUUAUUUUGAAAAUAAUUAAUAAUAAUCUGCAUGUUACUUGGAGUGCCAUCUCUGGGCAUCAGAUAUUUAUUUUAUGAAGGUUACAUUCCUAUCCUUUAAAGUUGAAAGGGACUUACUAAACACCUUACAGUGUUAGAAAUUAUGGUCCUGAGGUUUAGCUCUGUCUGUGCUUUUGAGGGAGGCUCAUUGAUUCUGUGAUUCCCAAAUGAGCUGGGAUGGAGUGUGAGCUGCACUGAGCAGCAGCCCAUCUGUACCUGCAGCUGCAGGUCUGCAAGGGACAGGCAAAGCCAGGCUUUCAUGAUGGCACACAGACCUUGAAUUCCUGUAUUUGGCAAGGCAAAACUGAGACUACUCUAAUUUGUUUCUCAUUUAGUCCUUGAUCUUCUGUCUUUAUUCACAUCACUGGAGAUAGGAUGGCUCUGACAGCUCUGGAGGGGGAGCAGGACAUUUCAGGUGGCUGCCGGCCAUAUCCAUGAUAAAUGGAGAGCCCUGGCCAUGUGCACAGAGCCAAGCCCAGACUCAGAGCGUGGGCUGAGUUCCAGCCUGCUUCACAUGAGAUCUGACCUUGUGCUGCUGCAGGCAGGCCCCUGUGUGUGGCAUCACAGCUCUUUGUGUUUCUCACGCUAUUUUUUAAUUUUUAUUUUUUUAAUGGGAAAGGUAAAAGAUUCCUGUGCUCUUCUUUUUGACUUGCAGGUAUGUUCCUUUCCACUGUUUCUGGGAUUAAGGUCCCUUCUCAACCCAGACUGUUGUGUGACUGCUCUAUGAUUUACAGUCACUGCACUCACUGUGUGAGUUAUAAGGAACAUGCAGAGAUGAUCCUGUGAUCCUGCAGUGCAGUCACUGGCUGGGCCAGGCACCAGCCAUUGACAAAGGGGAGAUAAUGUCCCUUUGAAUGUCCCCAGUUAGGAGGAUUCUGGUUUUCAGCUGUUCAUUCAUUAGCAGAGAAGUAAACAGUGCAGCAGAAGGUUGUGAAGCAGGGUGUUUAUUCACUUGUUUUCUGGCCUUCUCUCUGGAUUAAUGAAAUGACUCAUGGACAGUAACAACAUGCUUGGAGGGAAAAAAAGAAAAAGAGAAUAGAAAUAUCUGGAGGUGGGACGUAUAAGGCCAAAUCCUUCUGUCAGGACACCCACAACUCACCUUACAUAUGUGAGCUGAUUCUCUUUGUUAAAUGUAAAGAAUGAAUCACAGCCAGAACUUCAGGGCAAAAGAAUGAAAUGAGCAUCUAAAAUGUGCAGAGUGGUUUAGAUCUGUGUGGAAGAACAGGCUGGUGGAAUGUGAAGCUUUGUAAAUGUUUCUGUGCAACUUGGCCUUUUCUCACACCCUGUUCCCCUCUGCCCAAGAGCAGGGACAGUGUGUGUGAUCUCACACAGGUGAGCAACACAACACAGCACAACUGACCCAUGGUGAUGCUCAAACCUGUACCAGUCUCACAACACGGAGAAAGGAGAAUAGUGAGACUGCUCUGAUUUCAGGAUACUCAAGAACUCACUGUCCUUGGAGAAUCUUGGAAAGGUUACAUGGAUUUUGGGCAGAGAAGGAAACCAAACACAGAACCAGGUUCAACAAACUGAAAGCAGGACAAGAGUGGAAUAAUAACUGUGGAAUCCUGAGAAGAAUUAAUUUAUAGCAGAUACUACCAGGCAAUUCUAAUGUUGGAAAAAAUAAACUGAGAUGCACCUAUGUGAUAUUUUCAAAUACAGAAAAUGCUGCUCAGCAUUCGUAUUAGAAUUUAUUAUCAAUUCAGAAUCCUUGUCAUCUAAGGGAAAUGAUUUGUGAAAUGCUGUCCUAAAGAUCUCUUUGGUUCUGGCUUUUUCCUCCAUGGGAGUACUGAUCACAUGGAAACCUAAAACCCUCAGCCAGCUCCUACUCUGAAAAAUGCUUAAUUAAUGAAUUCUCAAAAAUUGGUUUAUAGCCAAGAUGUUCUGCUAUUUACUGUUUAUUUCAAACUGUUUGUUGGUAGUUUCUAUGUUGUUUUAUUUUGAGACGAGCCAGUAUAUUUAGGGUGGAGAUUUAAGCCACACAAGGUGAAAAACGAGGAUGAGGCUGGAGAAGGAAGAGGAACUUGUCAAAGCCUGUAGAGAAGAAGUGAGGAUAAUUAAUCAGACAAAUGGAGAUAGAGAGCAGGUGUGCAGAGGGAAUAGUCUGAUGGAACAAAAAAUGAAUGUCAGAAGAGAACCAGGUUUAAGGAAAAAAAAAGAGGGAAGAGACACAGUGGGAACACAACUGUGAUAUUUGCAGCAGUUUGCCUUCCCUCAGAAGUUCACUGAGAGUUCUGCAUGGAGAUGACAAAAGGGACAUGCCAGUCUGCAGAGUUGCUACAAUUGACUCAUUGUUCUGCUGUGUCAGAUUCCCUUUGCUCUAAGGAAGACAGCACCAAAAAUAGGGGAAGUACUGGAAUAUUUUAUGCUGACUUACAUUUUGCAUGAAAGAAGAAUUCUGGAAUGGAAGACCAGAACUAUAGUAAUUGAGAUGUUGCCAGGUUUACCAGAAAGUUCUGCUUGCUGCAUCUUCCAUGGUGAGGUGGAAUAUGUGCUGGUUGCUGUUGGUCAUGAGCUGCUGCUUCAGGCACUCCGUAGGGAAUAAAUGAUGGAGUGACAGCAGCAUGCUGGGAAUGCUGCUGCUGGAUGGAGUUCUGCUUCCUUUCCUGCCACUCUGAGAAAUGUUGAGAGCUGUGAGCAAUUUGUUUAUAAGGAAGUCUUUCUGAAUUAAAAAUUUGGAAAGAGUCCUAUGAUAAUGGACUUUAACAUCCUCCCCAGUCCUGAGCACUAAUCAGAAAUCAUCCCAAUUAAAGGUGUGUGAAGCUGUGGGGCACAAACACUGUGAUGCCUUGGAGAGAAAAUCUGCCAUUUGCUGCCUUUAGAUUCCUAAGUUGCUGGUUUAAUUCCUCAUAAAUAAGAAAUCCAUGAGAUGGCCCUGUGCAAUAGGACAAAAAAAGGAAUUUGGAUUUGUGCACCAAAACCUCAGAAUUCCUGCUUAAAAGUUUUAGAUGACUUCACCAAAGGAAGAAUAGGUCAGUUCUUGGGACACCAGAAUCCCUUUUGAGACAUAAAGUAGAAACACUUGGUGCUUCAAACACUUGGUGACCUGUGAGGUCAUCACAAAUGAUGAUAGAGUGGAUUUGCUUUGCAUCUCUUUGUUUCUCCCUGCAAGUGAGGAACUCAUAAUUUAAUGGGAAAGUUGUUCAGUGGCUUAGUUCAUCUCAACAACAGGGGAGGAAUAUGAACUUAAAAGAAACAAAAAUAAAAACUCAGAACCUCAAGUGUAGAAAAGGAGGGAAUGUAAUGAAAUAAAUUGCCUGGUCUGUUACAGGGAGUUGAAAUUCAUCUCUGAUUUUUUUAUUAUUUUUCUUUUCUUUUGGCAAGGGUCCUGGGCCAUCUUACUGAAACAGAGGCUUGAAGUAACGAUGGAAGUUACCAGCAACUAUAGCCCUGAGAAGGGGGAGAAAGGCAGCGUGAAUAUUGAAGCUGGCAGGAGUGAGCUCUGUUAGGAGAGAGAAGAGAGCAGAAGCAGUUGUUCUGCAGCAGUGGCUGUUUGCUUUGGUCCCUCCUUUGCACGUGCUCAGCACAUUGACUGUUUUUCUUCCUGGAGCCAUGUGGGUCACAUGGCCAUCUACUGACCCUCCCUUCACCAGCAGCAGUGCAGGAAAGAGUCAGGAAUGACCAUGCAAUAAUGUGUGUUGUGUUUCACAUCCCGGUAAUCUGCCACCAGUGCGAGUGCCCCUGCCAACGCUGUAGUUUGUGUGUCCAUGACCACACAUAUGGCCUUUAAAUAAAGUGCUUUCUGUAUGCUCUUAGGUCCUGGCAGUUCCUAUUCUGUCCAGCUGUUUUGGUGUCCUUCUCAGAGUUUAUCUAACCUCAGAAGGGUCUCACUUGCUUUCCCCAAGUUCACUUUCAUUCUAGGUUUACUUUAAGGGAAGAGUCAACUCAGAAAUGGUUGUAGUUUGGGAAAAAAAUAUGUUGUAUUUUUUAUUAAGCAAGAAAAAUAUCAGGUUUUUUACCAAGUACUGGUCAGCUUGACAGCAAGAAGAAUCCUUGAAGGGCUGAGACUGUGGAAUAAAGAGCCUGGAAGAAUUAACCAAUUCUUGUUGCUGCAGAGGUUUUCUGUUCCCAAAGUACUCGGAAGAGAUGGGAAGGUAUUUAUGAUUGACAUAUACAGGAGUUAAAAAACCAAAACCAGUUUCUCAAACACUGGAGCAGCCUAUCUCCAACAGAUGCAACUCAAUGACUUUGUCAUGCUUUGUCCCUUCAAAAAGCUAUUUCUGCAUGCUGUGGGAGUGCCUCAGGAAGGGAAGGAACGGAGCUAUUGUAAAUACAAAUGCCUAAAUGUGAAUAUGAAUUAAGGUAGGAUAGAAUGAGUUGUUUUUUCUAAAAUGAAUAAUGUACAAGCACACUCAGUUCUUGGCCACUUGCUGUUUGCUUUCCACACAGGAAAACAAAACCCAACAUCCCAAAACCAAACCAAAACCCAAACAGAAACCUGGCCCUGCUCGGUGGGGAAACAGUAGUUGCACGUGUUAAAAAAAUAAAUAAUGAAGGUUUCCACAGCAACCCAAGUUCUGUAGUGCAAGUUGAUGACUUUCAUUCUGUUUUA